CUGACACGAUCGUGAGCUCAUGUUUAUGUGGGUAUCAAAAUCAAAAUAAACAUAUUUUUACUAGGAAAGAUGAUAUCAAUAUGUUGUGUCUAUCGUGUAUUAUCAGAGUAACUGAAAUUAUUUAACGAAUUCCUGCUUAGUUUGCAAUAGAAUACCCUUUAAAGAAGGCUGUGUAUUUUGACGACAAAACCGAUAAAGGUGUGCCUCUCACCCACGAUUUGGCUCUAGAGGUGUGAAAUGAUGGUAACUAGUCCGAAAUAGAAGAUUUAGAUGGCGAAAAUGAUGUUGCUUUUGACGUUGAAAUGUUUAAAAAUAACACUGAUGACAAGGAUAUUGAAGAAACUGUAUUAGAAGAAGAACCUGUAUUGAAUGAAGAACCUGUUCCUUCAACGAGCUCUUCUUCAGCAAAGAGGCAAUGGAAAGACAUGACAUUUCAGCAAAAAAUGUUUGUUCUAUUUUAGUUAGUAUGUAAUAGCAUAUUAAACAAUUAUAAAAA
rnacentral:lncRNA from 1 species